rnacentral:rRNA from 1 species
AUUGAACGCUGGCGGAAUGCUUUACACAUGCAAGUCGAGCGGCAGCGCGGUCUUCGGACUGGCGGCGAGCGGCGAACGGGUGAGUAAUACAUCGGAACAUGCCCAGUCGUGGGGGAUAACACUUCGAAAGAAGUGCUAAUACCGCAUACGUCCUGAGGGUGAAAGCGGGGGAUCGCAAGACCUCGCGCGAUUGGAGUGGCCGAUGUCAGAUUAGCUAGUUGGUGGGGUAAAGGCCUACCAAGGCAACGAUCUGUAGCUGGUCUGAGAGGAUGAUCAGCCACACUGGGACUGAGACACGGCCCAGACUCCUACGGGAGGCAGCAGUGGGGAAUUUUGGACAAUGGGGGCAACCCUGAUCCAGCCAUUCCGCGUGAGUGAAGGAGGCCUUCGGGUUGUAAAGCUCUUUCGGCAGGAACGAAACGGCGAGCUCUAACAUAGCUCGCUAAUGACGGUACCUGAAGAAGAAGCACCGGCUAACUACGUGCCAGCAGCCGCCGUAAUAC